rnacentral:rRNA from 1 species
UAGGGAAUCUUCCACAAUGGGCGAAAGCCUGAUGGAGCAACGCCGCGUGUGUGAUGAAGGGUUUCGGCUCGUAAAACGCGUGUUGUAAGAGAAGAAUGACAUUGAGAGUAACUGUUCAAUGUGUGACGGUAUCUUACCAGAAAGGAACGGCUAAAUACGUGCCAG